rnacentral:rRNA from 1 species
CCUACGGGAUGCAGCAGUGAGGAAUAUUGGUCAAUGGACGCAAGCCUGAACCAGCCAUGCCGCGUGAAGGAUGACGGCUCUAUGAGUUGUAAACUGCUUUUGUACGAGGGUAAAGCCAGAUACGUGUAUCGGGUUGAAAGUAUCGUACGAAUAAGGAUCGACUAACUCCGUGCCAGCAGCCGCGGUAAUACGGAGGAUCCGAGCGUUAUCCGGAUUUAUUGGGUUUAAAGGGUGCGUAGGCGGUUUGAUAAGUUAGAGGUGAAAUGUCGGGGCUCAACCCCGAAACUGCCUCUAAUACUGUUGGACUAGAGAAUAGUUGAGGUAGGCGGAAUGUAUGGUGUAGCGGUGAAAUGCUUAGAGAUCAUACAGAACACCGAUUGCGAAGGCAGCUUACCAAACUAUAUCUGACGUUGAGGCACGAAAGCGUGGGUAGCAAACAGGAUUAGAUACCCCAGUAGUC